UACGAAGGGGGCUAGCGUUGUUCGGAAUUACUGGGCGUAAAGGGCGCGUAGGCGGCGUGUCAAGUCAGGCGUGAAAGCCCCGGGCUCAACCUGGGAACCGCGCUUGAGACUGGCAUGCUCGAGUUCGGGAGAGGAUGGUGGAAUUCCCAGUGUAAAGGUGAAAUUCGUAGAUAUUGGGAAGAACACCGAUGGGCGAAGGCAGCCAUCUGGACCGACACUGACGCUGAGGCGCGAAAGCGUGGGGGAGCAAACAGG
rnacentral:rRNA from 1 species